rnacentral:sRNA from 2 species
CCUGUCAGCAGACCGGAUCCGUUCAAGAUUUUCCCGACAGGGGCGGAGGAACCACUUUUUGGCGCUUGGGGGCGCCUUGGGGUGAAGUUCGUACGGCCGCAGAGAUCGCUGAAUCCUGCCCGCCGGCGAACCGAGCACAACUCUCUGGCUCGAAUCCGACAGCUAACUUCGCCGGCGCCACGAGAGGAUUC